UACGGAGGGGGCUAGCGUUGUUCGGAAUUACUGGGCGUAAAGCGCGCGUAGGCGGCUUUGUAAGUCAGAGGUGAAAUCCUGGAGCUUAACUCCAGAACUGCCUUUGAGACUGCAUCGCUUGAAUCGUGGAGAGGUAAGUGGAAUUCCGAGUGUAGAGGUGAAAUUCGUAGAUAUUCGGAAGAACACCAGUGGCGAAGGCGAC
rnacentral:rRNA from 1 species